rnacentral:rRNA from 1 species
UACGGGGGGGGCAAGCGUUGUUCGGAAUUACUGGGCGUAAAGGGCGCGUAGGCGGCCAACUAAGUCAGACGUGAAAUCCCCAGGCUCAACCUGGGAACUGCGUCUGAUACUGGAUGGCUUGAAUUCGGGAGAGGGAUGCAGAAUUCCAGGUGUAGCGGUGAAAUGCGUAGAUAUCUGGAGGAAUACCGGUGGCGAAGGCGGCAUCCUGGACCGACAUUGACGCUGAUGAGCGAAAGCUAGGGGAGCAAACGGG